UACGAAGGGGCUGCAGCGUUGUUCGGAAUUACUGGGCGUAAAGGGCGCGUAGGCGGCUGUGCAAGUCAGGUGUGAAAGCCCUGGGCUCAACCUGGGGGCUGCGUUUGAUACGUGCGGACUUGAGUGCGGAAGAGGGUCGUGGAAUUCCCAGUGUAGAGGUGAAAUUCGUAGAUAUUGGGAAGAACACCGGUGGCGAAGGCGGCGACCUGGUCCGAUACUGACGCUGAGGCGCGAAAGCGUGGGGAGCAAACAGG
rnacentral:rRNA from 1 species